UCUUCAAGUGGACUUGCUCUUAGUCAUCUGAGAAAGGAAGAAAGGUGGAAAAGCAGAGCUCUUCCAUUUGCUUCCACAGAUUUCUCGAGCUCUCUCUCUCGUAAGCCCGGAACCCUAGCCUCCUCAAGCAAAUCAGGUACAUAGAAUGGUGUGGACUAUGAAGGAAGCUUGCUUUGUGUUGGAAGAUGGAAAGGCUCGAGAUGUUGGUGUCAAUAGAAAUGUGCUUUCCCCAAAGUUUCAGAUGCUUUGACUCUUACUCUCCUGCUUUUCCUCAACUAUUCUGCGGUGUGAUUGAAUUUUUGGAUGGCUUUUCUGUGUAUCCAAUGUUUGGCAGAGAGUGUGCUUCGGUGUAUCAUUUUGAUAGCGUUUGGUGAUCUUCAGAUUUACAAGACAAUGAGCAUCGUACCAAUAUGUGAAUUAAAGCCUCUUAGAAAUGAUAUGGAGAUCAAAGUAAGAAUUUGCCGGAUGUGGAGACCCAAAAUGUUUGGACAUCAGAACCAAUUCAAUGGCUAACAAUGUGUACUGGUUGAUGAACUGCCCGUCCCGGAUUAUCGUUCUCGAAAAUGUGAAGUUACUAAAUUGCCCUUGAGCUUUAGUGGGUGUGUGGGUGUAUUGGACAAAGGGAUUGAACCAAUACAAAAUUUUCCCCAAGUUUUGGGGACCCAAUAGGAAGUAAGAAACUAAUUGGGUUUGAUUGGUGGCUUUUGGACCACACAAAAACACCCAAAAAGUCCUCUCUCUUCUCCCCCGUACUUUUCUCGGUUUCAUUCUCUCUCUCUCUCUCCUUCGAACACGUAUGGAUGAACACAAAACCUUCCAUUUCUUCACAGAUCAAAGGUAAAGAGGUAUUAUUCUUGUUCCCCUUAAACUCCUGAGUUCAUUGGUACAAGUUUUAGAGCGUGAGACCUUCGAAAACCCCGAGAACCCUAACCCCAGUUUUUAUGCACUGUUUAUGUGCACGUAAAAUGUUGAUUUUUAGGAGAUUUCAAGCUUAUAGGAAGCUUACGGAGGUCCUAAGGAAGCUCGGAGUAGUUCGUUUGAAGAUUUUGGACAUCGGGAUCGUGAGUUUCAAGCUUGGUCGGUUUCCCUCGAAAUUUCACGGCGAGAUCCCGUGAGAUUUAGAUCCCAAAACAGUUACUUCUCAUAUAGACGAAACUUAUCCGGAGGACGAGCGUAACCAGGCUAGACAUGGGGUUACGACCCGGCUACAUACCAGUUCUAGGUAGCAGUACUUUGGUGGUCAUGAGGAAUCCAACGGUGUUCUGACAGAAUUCACAAAAGUAGGAUUCACAUUCGGGUGUUAUAUCUUAGUAAUUGUCCUAAUUGAUUGCAACGAGACGUUCUUAUUGCUCUGAAUGUGUAUUUAUACACUUAGACUCGCACUAGCAUUCCUUCUUAGCUAGAAUUGCUAGUGAUUUGGUUUUUAUUCAUUCGUAUUUCUAUGUAUCUUUUUAGCUUCCUUACUGUGCAAAGAGUUACGUCACUCUUACGUGACGGCCAGCACGCCCUCCUUCGAGACGGGGUGUGUCAUUUAUCAAUUUAUUUUUUAUGGUUUUCAGUUUCCUAAAUGAAGUUUGACAUGUAUGAAAUUUGACAAUUUAUCUUCCUUUGCAUUCUUGCAUUUGAAUUGCAAGUUAGUUUAUGCUAAAUGUUGUUUAAUAAUUUAGAGAGAAGGUUUCAAUUGAUUGUCAUGCAAUGCAGCUGCAAAUUUGAUGAUUUAGAAUUAGCUUAUCCAUCUUCGAUAUGAUUUCUAAUCCCGCAACAACGCGCAAGCAGCAAUUUCUAGUUAUCUCUAUACUAAAACCCGAUGGGAAAACCAAUGUUCAUUAACAGUGCCCACCCGGUUUUGCCCCUGAUCUAACCCCACUUUUUUGGCAUUUUGAAGAUGCUACAUGAAAUGUCGUUUUUGCCCCUUUCCUUUAUCUUUUUUUUACCCGCGUGUUGCUCGGCUUUGCCUUUUCUACUUAUGACCACGUGUCGAUCAUCAAAUUGACCGUGGCUUUGUCUCUUCUCUCUUAUUUUUGCUGAUACCUUUCGCUUUCAGUUCAUUUCACUUUACUUCAGAACCUUGGUUUAAGCUGGAUUGGUUGAACGGCUGUCUGAUCGCCAUUUGGAGGACCGUGUAGUCGCAAUUUCCGCUAUCCCCGAUUGGGUUCUUUGUCAGCAGUUUAAAAUGGAAGAUCGAGGUCCAACUCCUCUUGAUCGAUUGGUCCCAUAUGAAAAAAUAGGAAAAAUUGAAGUUCGUAUCGGCAGAAUAUGGAGACCAAGAUUUUCAGGCAUGACUAAAAAAUAUGCAGGUCUACACUGUGUAUUAGUUGAUGAAAAGAUGUUAUUGGUCAUGUGGUUGGAGUCCAACAUUUGGAGCCCGUAAAAGUGAACCAAAGAAUUGAUCACAAGUGUGAUGUGGUUAUUCAAAAUAUCAGAAAAGACGAAGCUAAGAUUACAUUGUGGUUAGACGUUGCACACAGCUUUACUUCUUUAUCGUUUGAUUCACUACUUGAAGCAAGAAUUAUUUUUUUUACGUGCUUGAAAGUCAAGCUAUUUGAAGCAUCAUCCUCAACAGCACCGGUGCAACACUUUUCUUUGUUGAUCCAGAAAUUCCAGAAUUAAACUCAUAUAAAUCAGUGUUUUCUGGCUUGCCUCACCCUGUUACAAUACUCCCUCUAAUCAGGCAAGAGAAACUGAAGCUUUACAGACUGGAAAAAUGGUCACAAUUGAAGAGUUGGGCUACUUAGACCCAGAUUUAUAUAAGGAUAAUACAUUUUUGUGCAAGGCAUCAAUUAAGCGAUUUAACACGUCAUAUGAAUGGUGGUAUGCUGCUUGCCCUACAUGUGCCAAACAAAUGUACAAGGACCCAACAAUUGGUCAACUGAUGUGCCAAAAACAUACAAAUCAAAUGCCAACUCCUUGGUACAAAGUGUUCUUGGUCUUUGAAGACGAAACAAAUGAGAUCAAUGCUCUCAUUAUCGGCAAAUUAGGCGAAAAGGUCUUUGCAUGCCAUGCAAAGAUUUGGUUUACAAUCAAAGAUCAACAUAUCAUAAGCAAUUGCCAAGUGAGUUUCUCAGACUUAUAGGCCAAAGGAAAAAAAUUUCACCUCCGGUUUCGAAGCCGACGAAAUUUGUUGAAUUCAAUUGAUCUCCUUAUCUACAAUGUUAUCGAAGACACAAUGAUCCAACCAACAACACCACAGUCUAAUAUGAAAGAAAUUACAGUGUCUUCGACAACAGUUUCGUCGUCCACUACACCAGCUAAAAAACCAAAGAAACGCACAAGAGGAAAAGAGAUUCAAUGAGGAGAGCCUUUUUUUACAGAGGCUGAAAACAGAGGAAGUCUUUGAAGCAGAUGUGCAGGAUUUUCAUCAGGUUCCAAUCAAAUUGUUGAAAAAAAACAUAUUCCCAACAAGCAUGAAAAAAGACCCUCCUCUAUCGAAAAAAAAACUAGUUACUGCCAGAAGGAACAAAUUUUUGCUGCUAUAGAAAAGAGUCUGAUCAUCUUUUGUUAAAACAACAAUGCUUCUCCAUAUUUUUUGCAUGUAAAUAGGCCACUAUAACAUUGAUACCCCUAUUUUUUGUGCAUAUGAACAAUCUGACGUUUUCAAAUCUUUCACCUGUAACCAUAGUCUGAAAUAUCGAUAAUAUCGACGAAAUAUCGAUAAUAUCGACGAAAUAUCGAGGAUAUUUCGGUAUUUUCGAAUCACGGAUAUUUCGGAACAUAUCCAUGUACAUAUCAUACAAAUAUCGACAAUAUCGACGAUAAUAUCGGAAAAUAUCGA